rnacentral:rRNA from 1 species
AUUGAACGCUGGCGGCAGGCCUAACACAUGCAAGUCGAACGAGUGGCGGACGGGUGAGUAAUGUCUGGGAAACUGCCUGAUGGAGGGGGAUAACUACUGGAAACGGUAGCUAAUACCGCCUACCAUCGGAUGUGCCCAGAUGGGAUUAGCUAGUAGGUGGGGUAAAGGCUCACCUAGGCGACGAUCCCUAGCUGGUCUGAGAGGAGGACCAGCAAAACUGGAAAGUAGACACGGUCCAGACUCAUACGGGAGGCAGAAGUGGGGGAUAUGGCACAAUGGGCGCAAGCCUGAUGCAGCCAUGGCGCGUGUAUGAAGAAGGCCUUAGGGUUGUAAAGUACUUUCAGCGGGGAGGCGUUACACGCAGAAGAAGCACAGGCUAAAUCCGUGCCAGCAGCCGCGGUAAUAC